rnacentral:lncRNA from 1 species
CAGCCUCCCUCUGCCUGAGGGGUGGGGACUCUGAGGCCUUGCUGAAGCUUCACCCAGGGCCUCAGCAUGGCGUGCACAGCCCAGCAAGGCCCAGCCCAAGCUGCUCCUGAGGUCUCUGCCUUUCCAUGUCUCCUUGGCACAGGAGGAUACUCCCAUCCACUACCCAGCAGAUGAGGGCAGCACUCAGGGACCCCUCUGCCCUCUGGACAGCAAUCUCUCCCACUUCAUCCUCGUGGAGCCAGGCACCCUUGGGAGUGGGAACGACGGACUGGCAGAGCUGCAGCUGAGCCUGGAGAAGCACAUCUCUCAGCAGAGGACAGGUUAUGGGGGUACCAGCAGCAUCCAGAUACCUGUCCUUUGCUUGCUAGUCAAUGGUGACCCCAGCACCCUA